CCUUCGAUAGCUCAGCUGGUAGAGCGGAGGACUGUAGAGAAGAGAACCUCAGAUAUCCUUAGGUCGCUGGUUCAAUUCCGGCUCGAAGGA
rnacentral:tRNA from 1 species